GUGCUCGCUUCAGCUGCAUGUACACUAAAACUGGAAUGAUACAGAGAAGGUUAGCAUGGCCCCUGCACAAUGACAGGCAAAUUUGUGAAGCGUUCCAUGUUAAA